UAGCGUAGGGUGCGAGCGUUAAUCGGAAUUACUGGGCGUAAAGCGUGCGCAGGCGGUGAUGUAAGACAGGUGUGGAAAUCCCCGGGCUUAACCUGGGAACUGCAUUUGUGACUGCAUCGCUGGAGUGCGGCAGAGGGGGAUGGAAUUCCGCGUGUAGCAGUGAAAUGCGUAGAUAUGCGGAGGAACACCGAUGGCGAAGGCAAUCCCCUGGGCCUGCACUGACGCUCAUGCACGAAAGCGUGGGGAGCAAACAGG
rnacentral:rRNA from 1 species